GAAGUCUUAGCUUAAUUAAAGUGUCUGAGUUGCAAUUAGGUGAUGUAAAUUAAAAUUUUACAGGCUUU
rnacentral:tRNA from 1 species